rnacentral:lncRNA from 1 species
AAACAUUCUUGUUGCAGUUUUUGUUGUUUUUGUUUUUCAUCAGUGUGUUUUCCAGGCAUCAGGCAAUCUACUUCUAACCAUCCCUCCCUGCUCGCAUUGUUCAUUCCCACCUGGAAGAACGUCUCCACAUGCUGUCGGGGAGCAUCUUCCUUGAGGACCGGGCUUACAUUUAGCAUUCCUUGAUGACAUGUCAUCUGACUCCAUGUAUCCUGUGCCAGUAACUAAUCAAACAGUGGAGCCCUGACCCUCGAGUCUGUAUCUAAUAAGGGGGAAGACGAACCAUGGAUAAGUGGUCCUAAGACACAGAAGUUAAAGGCAGCCCUGCAUGCUUGUACUACAUAGGUCACUUGAAAGUUUUAAUUUCAUUGUAAACUUCUGGGGCUGAUGAAGGCAGCACUAUUUUCUGUAUUAAACCUCUUGUCUUAUGUACGUUUACUAGGCUUCCCCAGCUGAGCUGACAUACAUUACAUCUAUACUUCCCAGGUCUGCUAUAGGAACUAGCCCAUGGAAGGAACCUGUUGCUCUCAGACUAUCAACCUGAAUAAAUGAUGACUCUGUGGAAGAAGACAGCUACAAUAUGAAGCUGUCUGCCAUCGGAGAUUGCCUUCUUCCUGGGACCAUUUGUCCUUUGCCGGCAUCACUGGAAGAUGUAAUUUGCAUGCAUAAUAUUAAUUUUUAAAUGGCACGUCAUCAUUCUUAGCACUAUCGCAUUCUCUCCAACGAUGUACCUUUAGAUUUAUGCAGUCAAUUAACAUGAAUAAUCAAGGAAAUUGUAAGAGCCAGAAAGUGAUUCUUUCUGCCUUAGAUCCCUUCUGAUUUGUGAGAAAAAUCCUUUGCAAUGUAGAUAUUCUCUAAUGGAAAAAUAAUUCUUUUUUAAAGUUUUCAUUUUAAUGUAGAGAGCAACCUAAGUUGUAGUAUGCAAUAACUUUGAUUAAAAAAUAAAUAAUAACAAAGAUUAACAAUUUGCAAGAGGGUCAGAAGAUUGCAUUACAAAGAAAGUCAUUCUGCAGGAUACAGAGAAGCCAAGAAGAGAAAGAUGAAAAUCUGUGAUGUGAACAUCAACUAAAGAGAUGAUCUCAUACAGGCUUAGGGAUCUUCGUGUAAAAGAAAAGUAUAAUGGAAGAACCAGAAGAUUGGAGAUACAGGGAGAGAAGGAGAAAGAAAAGGAAGGAUGGAAAGGAAGCUGAGCAGAAAAGUCAG